AAAUUGAAGAGUUUGAUCAUGGCUCAGAUUGAACGCUGGCGGCAGGCCUAACACAUGCAAGUCGAACGGUAACAGAAAGCAGCUUGCUGCUUUGCUGACGAGUGGCGGACGGGUGAGUAAUGUCUGGGAAACUGCCUGAUGGAGGGGGAUAACUACUGGAAACGGUAGCUAAUACCGCAUAACGUCGCAAGACCAAAGAGGGGGACCUUCGGGCCUCUUGCCAUCGGAUGUGCCCAGAUGGGAUUAGCUUGUUGGUGGGGUAACGGCUCACCAAGGCGACGAUCCCUAGCUGGUCUGAGAGGAUGACCAGCCACACUGGAACUGAGACACGGUCCAGACUCCUACGGGAGGCAGCAGUGGGGAAUAUUGCACAAUGGGCGCAAGCCUGAUGCAGCCAUGCCGCGUGUAUGAAGAAGGCCUUCGGGUUGUAAAGUACUUUCAGCGGGGAGGAAGGGAGUAAAGUUAAUACCUUUGCUCAUUGACGUUACCCGCAGAAGAAGCACCGGCUAACUCCGUGCCAGCAGCCGCGGUAAUACGGAGGGUGCAAGCGUUAAUCGGAAUUACUGGGCGUAAAGCGCACGCAGGCGGUUUGUUAAGUCAGAUGUGAAAUCCCCGGGCUCAACCUGGGAACUGCAUCUGAUACUGGCAAGCUUGAGUCU
rnacentral:rRNA from 1 species